AACACGUGAGUGACCUGCCUUUUAGACUGGAACAACUUACCGAAAGGUGAGCUAAUGCCGGAUGAGUUAUAUAAGUGCAUGUUUAUAUAGGAAAAGUUGGGGAGACCUGACGCUGAAAGAUGGACUCGCGUCCCAUUAGCUAGUUGGUAGGGUAAUGGCCUACCAAGGCGACGAUGGGUAGCCGGCCUGAGAGGGUGGCCGGCCACACUGGGACUGAGACACGGCCCAG
rnacentral:rRNA from 1 species